rnacentral:tRNA from 1 species
UUAGGGAGACCUACCUAACUCAAAACGACAAAAGUAAAACAUAUAGUCGAUUGAGUUGGUCAUCCCAAGGUCGUGCGAAGAUAGCAUUGGAGGCUUUCAAACUAUAGAGUGGUUUGGUUCGUCGGGGCUAUUAGCUCAGGUGGUUAGAGCGCACCCCUGAUAAGGGUGAGGUCCCUGGUUCGAGUCCAGGAUGGCCCACCAUUAAACGUGGGGGUAUAGCUCAGCUGGUAGAGCGCUGCCUUUGCAAGGCAGAAGCCAGCGGUUCGAGUCCGCUUACCUCCACUCAAGUGAGUAAGAAGUAAGUGAAAUUUAGGUUUAACUAAAUAUUUAAGUGAAAUUAGCUAGAGUUCAAAUAAGUAUGUCAGACUAGUAAAGUUGGAAAUAAGUUCAGCACUAUGACAAACAAAAACUAAGCUGUCAGGAUGCUGGAGAAAAUUCCAGUCAGAACCUUGAAAACUGCAUAGUAACGCGUGAAAACAAGCGAACUAAGAAUGUGAUCGCUCACAAUUUUAGUUUGCUGAAUAAACCACCAAUGUAAAAAAGU